GACUACUGGGGUAUCUAAUCCUGUUUGCUCCCCACGCUUUCGCGUCUCAGCGUCAGUAUUGGGCCAGAAAGCCGCCUUCGCCACCGGUGUUCCUCCUGAUAUCUACGAAUUUCACCUCUACACCAGGAAUUCCGCUUUCCUCUCCCGUACUCAAGCAAGGCAGUUUCAAGUGCACUUCCUGGGUUGAGCCCAGGGCUUUCACACCUGACUUACCAAGCCGCCUACACGCGCUUUACGCCCAAUGAUUCCGAACAACGCUUGCACCCCCCGUAUUACCGCGGCUGCUGGCACGGAGUUAGCCGGUGCUUCCUCUGAUGGUACCGUCAGGGAUGAAGGCUAUUAACCCGCAUCCGUUUCUUUCCAUCCGACAGAGCUUUACGACCCGAAGGCCUUCCUCACUCACGCGGCGUUGCUGCGUCAGGGUUGCCCCCAUUGCGCAAGAUUCCUCACUGCAGCCCCCCGUAGG
rnacentral:rRNA from 1 species